UACAGAGGGUGCAAGCGUUAAUCGGAAUUACUGGGCGUAAAGCGUGCGUAGACGGUUAUGUAAGUCGGGUGUGAAAGCCCCGGGCUCAACCUGGGAAUUGCAUUCGAGACUGUGUAGCUAGGGUACGGAAGAGGGAAGCGGAAUUUCAGGUGUAGCGGUGAAAUGCGUAGAUAUCAAGAGGAACACCUGCGGCGAAGGCGGGUUGCUGGGCCGACACUGACGCUGAUGCGCGAAAGCUAGGGGAGCGAACGGG
rnacentral:rRNA from 1 species